rnacentral:rRNA from 1 species
GGUUAAGCGACUAAGCGUACACGGUGGAUGCCCUGGCAGUCAGAGGCGAUGAAGGGCGUGCUAAUCUGCGAUAAGCGCCGGUAAGGUGAUAUGAACCGUUAUAACCGGCGAUACCCGAAUGGGGAAACCCAGUGUGACUCGUCACACUAUCAUUAACUGAAUCCAUAGGUUAAUGAGGCGAACCGGGGGAACUGAAACAUCUAAGUACCCCGAGGAAAAGAAAUCAACCGAGAUUCCCCCAGUAGCGGCGAGCGAACGGGGAGGAGCCCAGAGCCUGAAUCAGCAUGUGUGUUAGUGGAAGCGUCUGGAAAGGCGCGCGAUACAGGGUGACAGCCCCGUACACAAAAGCGCAUGUGCUGUGAGCUCGAUGAGUAGGGCGGGACACGUGGUAUCCUGUCUGAAUAUGGGGGGACCAUCCUCCAAGGCUAAAUACUCCUGACUGACCGAUAGUGAACCAGUACCGUGAGGGAAAGGCGAAAAGAACCCCGGCGAGGGGAGUGAAAAAGAACCUGAAACCGUGUACGUACAAGCAGUGGGAGCCCCACCACCAAAGCAUUUGCUGUACCGCGUUGACGGAGCGAAGCGACGUCAAACCGAUAAAACAGCAGUGUAAAGUGAGCCGCAGGGCGCUUUGCGCGACAGCGCAAAGGCAGGCGGUUUCGCGUAGCGAAAGCGAAUGCUUUGGGGUGGGGUGACUGCGUACCUUUUGUAUAAUGGGUCAGCGACUUAUAUUCUGUAGCAAGGUUAACCGAAUAGGGGAGCCGGAGGGAAACCGAGUCUUAAUUGGGCGUUAAGUUGCAGGGUAUAGACCCGAAACCCGGUGAUCUAGCCAUGGGCAGGUUGAAGGUUGGGUAACACUAACUGGAGGACCGAACCGACUAAUGUUGAAAAAUUAGCGGAUGACCUGUGGCUGGGGGUGAAAGGCCAAUCAAACCGGGAGAUAGCUGGUUCUCCCCGAAAGCUAUUUAGGUAGCGCCUCGUGAAUUCAUCUCCGGGGGUAGAGCACUGUUUCGGCUAGGGGGCCAUCCCGGCUUACCAACCCGAUGCAAACUGCGAAUACCGGAGAAUGUUAUCACGGGAGACACACGGCGGGUGCUAACGUCCGUCGUGAAGAGGGAAACAACCCAGACCGCCAGCUAAGGUCCCAAAGUCAUGGUUAAGUGGGAAACGAUGUGGGAAGGCCCAGACAGCCAGGAUGUUGGCUUAGAAGCAGCCAUCAUUUAAAGAAAGCGUAAUAGCUCACUGGUCGAGUCGGCCUGCGCGGAAGAUGUAACGGGGCUAAACCAUGCACCGAAGCUGCGGCAGCGACGCUUAUGCGUUGUUGGGUAGGGGAGCGUUCUGUAAGCCUGCGAAGGUGGCCUGUGAGGGUUGCUGGAGGUAUCAGAAGUGCGAAUGCUGACAUAAGUAACGAUAAAGCGGGUGAAAAGCCCGCUCGCCGGAAGACCAAGGGUUCCUGUCCAACGUUAAUCGGGGCAGGGUGAGUCGACCCCUAAGGCGAGGCCGAAAGGCGUAGUCGAUGGGAAACGGGUUAAUAUUCCCGUACUUGGUGUUACUGCGAAGGGGGGACGGAGAAGGCUAUGUUGGCCGGGCGACGGUUGUCCCGGUUUAAGCGUGUAGGUGUGUGUUCCAGGUAAAUCCGGUUCACUUUAACACUGAGGCGUGACGACGAGGCACUACGGUGCUGAAGCAACAAAUGCCCUGCUUCCAGGAAAAGCCUCUAAGCAUCAGGUAACAUCAAAUCGUACCCCAAACCGACACAGGUGGUCAGGUAGAGAAUACCAAGGCGCUUGAGAGAACUCGGGUGAAGGAACUAGGCAAAAUGGUGCCGUAACUUCGGGAGAAGGCACGCUGACACGUAGGUGAAGUGAUUUACUCAUGGAGCUGAAGUCAGUCGAAGAUACCAGCUGGCUGCAACUGUUUAUUAAAAACACAGCACUGUGCAAACACGAAAGUGGACGUAUACGGUGUGACGCCUGCCCGGUGCCGGAAGGUUAAUUGAUGGGGUCAGCGCAAGCGAAGCUCCUGAUCGAAGCCCCGGUAAACGGCGGCCGUAACUAUAACGGUCCUAAGGUAGCGAAAUUCCUUGUCGGGUAAGUUCCGACCUGCACGAAUGGCGUAAUGAUGGCCAGGCUGUCUCCACCCGAGACUCAGUGAAAUUGAACUCGCUGUGAAGAUGCAGUGUACCCGCGGCAAGACGGAAAGACCCCGUGAACCUUUACUAUAGCUUGACACUGAACAUUGAGCCUUGAUGUGUAGGAUAGGUGGGAGGCUUUGAAGUGUGGACGCCAGUCUGCAUGGAGCCGACCUUGAAAUACCACCCUUUAAUGUUUGAUGUUCUAACGUGGACCCGUUACCCGGGUUGCGGACAGUGUCUGGUGGGUAGUUUGACUGGGGCGGUCUCCUCCUAAAGAGUAACGGAGGAGCACGAAGGUUGGCUAAUCCUGGUCGGACAUCAGGAGGUUAGUGCAAUGGCAUAAGCCAGCUUGACUGCGAGCGUGACGGCGCGAGCAGGUGCGAAAGCAGGUCAUAGUGAUCCGGUGGUUCUGAAUGGAAGGGCCAUCGCUCAACGGAUAAAAGGUACUCCGGGGAUAACAGGCUGAUACCGCCCAAGAGUUCAUAUCGACGGCGGUGUUUGGCACCUCGAUGUCGGCUCAUCACAUCCUGGGGCUGAAGUAGGUCCCAAGGGUAUGGCUGUUCGCCAUUUAAAGUGGUACGCGAGCUGGGUUUAGAACGUCGUGAGACAGUUCGGUCCCUAUCUGCCGUGGGCGCUGGAGAACUGAGGGGGGCUGCUCCUAGUACGAGAGGACCGGAGUGGACGCAUCACUGGUGUUCGGGUUGUCAUGCCAAUGGCACUGCCCGGUAGCUAAAUGCGGAAGAGAUAAGUGCUGAAAGCAUCUAAGCACGAAACUUGCCCCGAGAUGAGUUCUCCCUGAGACUUAGAGUCUCCUGAAGGAACGUUGAAGACGACGACGUUGAUAGGCCGGGUGUGUAAGCGCAGCGAUGCGUUGAGCUAACCGGUACUAAUGAACCGUGAGGCUUAACCUU